GCCCCGCGCGCCGGCCCCAUCUGCGCCUCCAUCUCCUCCACCCCCUCCAACCCGCCCUACGACCUCACGUCCUUCCGGUUCAGCCCCAUCAAGGAGUCCAUCGUCUCCCGCGAGAUGACCCGCCGGUACAUGACCGACAUGAUCACCUACGCCGACACCGACGUCGUCAUCGUCGGCGCCGGCUCCGCGGGGCUCUCCUGCGCGUACGAGCUCUCCAAGGACCCCUCCAUCAGCAUCGCCAUCGUCGAGCAGUCCGUCUCCCCCGGCGGCGGCGCCUGGCUCGGCGGCCAGCUCUUCUCCGCCAUGGUGGUGCGCAAGCCGGCGCACCUCUUCCUCGACGAGCUCGGCAUCGCGUACGACGAGGCCGAGGACUACGUGGUCAUCAAGCACGCCGCGCUCUUCACCUCCACCGUCAUGAGCCGCCUCCUCGCGCGCCCCAACGUGAAGCUCUUCAACGCUGUCGCCGUCGAGGAC
rnacentral:lncRNA from 1 species